GUGCUCGCUUCAACAGCACAUAUACUAAAAUUGGAACAAUAAAGAGAAGAUUUGUAUGGCCCCUGUGGUAGAAUGAUAUACAAAUUCGUGAAGCAUUCCAUAUUUUU